GAUCAAGUUUAACGGAGCCGAUUGACGAUUCGAAAGUCGCAAUAUCAAAAAUGAGUUAGAAGCACGGAAGGCUCCGUGCACGGAAGGCUACUAUACUAUCGAUAGUACCAAGCCUUUGGUACUAUUGAGUUUUCUACCAUUAGAUUUACCCUUUGAUCAUUUUCAUCCGUUAGAUUAUACUAUUAAACCAACCACCCACUCAACUCUAGGGGACCACUAUCAAUUUAACCGGAACCACUAUCAUCCUAACCGCACAUCCUUUCAUCCAACGGCCGAAAACUCAAUAGUACCAAAGGCUUGGUACUAUUGAUAGUAUAGUAGCAUAAUUCUAUAUAUAUAUAUA
rnacentral:lncRNA from 1 species